rnacentral:rRNA from 1 species
GACGAACGCUGGCGGCGUGCUUAACACAUGCAAGUCGAACGAUGAAGCCGGAGCUUGCUCUGGUGAAUUAGUGGCGAACGGGUGAGUAACACGUGAGUAACCUGCCCUUGACUCUGGGAUAACUGCGGGAAACUGUAGCUAAUACCGGAUACGACCCUCGGAGGCAUCUCCUGGGGGUGGAAAGAAUUUCGGUCAAGGAUGGACUCGCGGCCUAUCAGCUAGUUGGUGAGGUAAAGGCUCACCAAGGCGACGACGGGUAGCCGGCCUGAGAGGGCGACCGGCCACACUGGGACUGAGACACGGCCCAGACUCCUACGGGAGGCAGCAGUGGGGAAUAUUGCACAAUGGGCGCAAGCCUGAUGCAGCAACGCCGCGUGAGGGAUGAAGGCCUUCGGGUUGUAAACCUCUUUUAGCAGGGAAGAAGCGAAAGUGACGGUACCUGCAGAAAAAGCACCGGCUAACUACGUGCCAGCCGCCGCGGUAA